CUAAGCUCCGCCUAUGCUCCAAGUUGUGCCUGGAGCGGAAGAUACCAAAGAGGAUUGCCAGAGAAUGACAGCAUGGAAAGGUGCAAGAUUCCUCAGUCUGUCUCUUGUAAGCCUUGACCUUCAGCUGCAACUUGUCUACCAGAUCCUGAAGUCUCAAAAUAUUUUUCUUGUCCUCUUCAGUCUACAAAAAAGAAUCCUCUACACAAAGCCUGAGUACGAGUGAUAAGGUGUGUCAACCUUUCAUCCCUCAUUUCUUCCAGAGUACCCAGGAGACCGGCUUUGAAGAAAACCUAAAGGAACAUAAACCUUAUAAUCUCUGUUCCAAAACACAAGUAAAAUGCUUUCUAGCUGUA